rnacentral:lncRNA from 1 species
GGACUCUUACUAACUGCCAGACACUCACAGUUCAGGAGCCUGGGAAUAUCAGGGGACAAAACAUGUGGCAGAGAUAAUUGAUAAUAUGGACAAUUAACAAUAAAUAUAUAAUCAUGACAAGGACAUCUGAUAAUGAUGGCAGAUUACAGCCAACACCAACCCUGCCAUGACUUUGCCUGACUUCACCAGCACUUCAGCACCACAUUACCCAGAAACAGGCCCAUGGGAAACAUGGGGGACCUGUUUUCCAAAGCUGUGUGGAGAGGUAUUUCCCAGUAGAACAAGAUGUGGACUGCAGCAGCCAAGGAAAUAUCGACUCAGAUCUCCUUAAAGAAAAUCUGUUGCAGCAAGCAUAGUUGACUGACAGCCCAGAUGCUGCACCUCUGCAUCUCCCACCAUGCUUCCCCUGGGCUCUCACUGCCAAUGACUGAGCAUGACGUAUGUUUUCCUGCUAGCCACGGGAUGCAGGACACCUCAAAUGGGCAACUUUGGCUUGAGGACUCCCUAGCAAUCUGGACAAAAUGUUCUCAGAACUGUACCACAGUCUGACUUUUCCUAAUCAAUUCUUUUCUUUUGCCACUCUUCUUUUCUGUUUAUAGGUGAACAGUCUAAAGUCUUGUCCCGCUCAUUCCUGCUUCUUCCUUUUCAUCCCCUAAUAAGUUUCUUGAAUAUCUAAUCUUAUCUGACAUCUACCUCUCAGAGAACCUGAAUGAACCCUGAAUGCUAUCAGUUUCUAGACUGAAGAGGCUCUCUGAAGUUCCGAUAAAGUAAAAAAAAAAAGAAGGAUAUCCUUACAAGCACAUUGUCAUGUAACUGCAAUAUCAGGAAUAAAGAAAAUAACUUAAUAUCCUGCAAAGGGGAUUAAAAAAGUAAAAAUCAGGAGUCACAUAUAAAAAUGUGUUUGGAUUUCUCAAUGACAAUUCUGGAAGCUUGAAAAUAAUGGAGCAACACCAUAUAUGACCAAGAGUCAGGGAUAAGAAUAAAGACAUUAUUUGUCAUCCAAAUUCUCAAAAUUUCUCUUUUUUUAGAAAGCAAUUGGAAGCUGGACACAGUGACUCAGACCUGUAAUCCCAGUAC